UACGUAGGGUGCGAGCGUUGUUCGGAAUUACUGGGUGUAAAGGGUCCGCAGGCGGGAGAGCAAGUCGGUGGUGAAAGUUCAUGGCUCAACUGUGAAAUUGCCUUCGAUACUGCUCUUCUUGAGUUCGAGAGAGGAUGAUGGAAUUCAUGGUGUAGCAGUGAAAUGCGUAGAGAUCAUGAAGAACACCAGUUGCGAAGGCGGUCAUCUGGCUCGAUACUGACGCUCAGGGACGAAAGCGUGGGGAGCAAAC
rnacentral:rRNA from 1 species